GGUAUUCCUUAUCUAUCUAAUACGUUGAUUUGUCUGGAACCUGUCCCAUUGAGCUUUCGCCAGAAAGCGCAAUAAGACAGGUUCUGCGUUUAGUUGCCGCGCGCUAUAAUUUG
rnacentral:sRNA from 19 species